rnacentral:rRNA from 1 species
UACGGAGGGGGCUAGCGUUGUUCGGAAUUACUGGGCGUAAAGCGCACGUAGGCGGCUUUGUAAGUUAGAGGUGAAAGCCCGGGGCUCAACUCCGGAAUUGCCUUUAAGACUGCAUCGCUAGAAUUGUGGAGAGGUAAGUGGAAUUCCGAGUGUAGAGGUGAAAUUCGUAGAUAUUCGGAAGAACACCAGUGGCGAAGGCGACUUCCUGGCCUGUUCUUGACGCUGAGGCGCGAAAGCUAGGGGAGCAAACGGG